rnacentral:rRNA from 1 species
AUUGAACGCUGGCGGCAUGCCUUACACAUGCAAGUCGAACGGCAGCACGGGGGCAACCCUGGUGGCGAGUGGCGAACGGGUGAGUAACACAUCGGAACGUGCCCAGUAGUGGGGGAUAGCUCGGCGAAAGCCGGAUUAAUACCGCAUACGACCUACGGGUGAAAGCGGGGGAUCGCAAGACCUCGCGCUAUCGGAGCGGCCGAUGUCAGAUUAGGUUGUUGGUGGGGAAAGGCCUACCAAGCCGACGAUCUGUAGCUGGUCUGAGAGGACGACCAGCCACACUGGGACUGAGACACGGCCCAGACUCCUACGGGAGGCAGCAGUGGGGAAUUUUGGACAAUGGGCGCAAGCCUGAUCCAGCCAUGCCGCGUGCGGGAAGAAGGCCU